rnacentral:rRNA from 1 species
UACGGGGGGGGCAAGCGUUGUUCGGAAUUACUGGGCGUAAAGGGCGCGUAGGCGGUUGGAUAAGUCAGCUGUGAAAACCACGGGCUUAACUCGUGGCCUGCAGUUGAGACUGUCUGGCUUGAGUGUGGGAGAGGAGAGUGGAAUUCCGGGUGUAGUGGUGAAAUGCGUAGAGAUCCGGAGGAACACCAGUGGCGAAGGCGACACGCUGGGCCGUACCUGACACUAAAACGCGACAGCAUGGGGAGCGAACGGG